CGCGAUAUUAAAGUUACUAUAGGUUGUCCGAGCUAUAAACAUUUAAUAUAUAUUAUACAGUUGUCCUUGUCCUUGCACGAUGCUAACUAUAAUAAUAAUGCUUGCGAACAAAUAACAAUUGCUCAUUAUAUGGAUCGUUGGCCAGAUUUCAAUGUCGUACUGUGUCAGUUUAUCUGCACGUAUAAAACCGAGUAACCGACCCGUGGCCGUGCAGCAUCAUUAUGUGGCCAUGUCCUCAUGUUCACUCGGACAUCACAAACCCGAACGAUACUAAUUUUUGGACCAGGAACUGGUCCCCAAUCGCUGCUAAUCUUCUUCUUCUUGUUAGGGGGCGACCAUUAUUAUUCUAAGCAAUAUUCCGCAUCGGUUGACGGUGUUCGAUUUUUCAUUUUUGACUUUAGAAGCAAGAUACAAGCAAUUUUUGACUGUAUUCGUAGCAAAUAACACAGCAAAUAUAUCAGCAAACGCAAACGAUAAGAAAGGCAUUGUCUUGACUCUUGUCUAUUGUUGUGAAUACAAUCACAAUAGUCUAAAGCUUCUCAAGAAAGAUAGUCUAUAUGGCGCGGGUCGCGAGGUCGCGAGUCAAUACAAAACGCUACAAAUGGCGCGGGUCCAGCGAAAAUGGCGCGGGUAACAAGUUCCGAGGCGCGAGUACAAAGUUCCGAGGCGAGGGUAACAAGUUCCGAGAUCAAUUGCCCGGCACUUAUAUUAAAGAUGGCGGCUAUUUUGACUAAAAAUUCUGCAACUAUU